rnacentral:lncRNA from 1 species
CCAAGCCAAUGGCGGCUCGAGGGCGUGCCGCUCGCCUGGGGGCCUGGGCGGGGCGGCGCGCGCCCAGGCUGAGGUUUUGACAGCGGCCGGAGCCCUGCACGCCGGCUGCCGGGACGCCGCCGGACUCUGCGGCUGCCAGAGGAGGAGGCCAGCCGAAGGCAGAGCCAGCACAACCCGGCUUCCUCUGCUCCCCGGCGGGAUUCUGCUCCUCCCCGGGUCGCGUUUUCUCCCGGGUAAAUGGGAAUGGCGGUACCUGCUAAGCGGAGAAAGGGUUCAUCCAGACGAGAGAGGAGCUCCGCGUUCUCCUGUACCCAUUCCUUGCCAUGUCCUCCGCGCUCCAGGCAGCAGGGUCUCAACUGUAGGAAGAGCCCUUGAUGAGGCUUCAUAGUGACUAGAAGCAAUGGGUCAGCCCCCAUCCCUGAAGCGUGCAAAAUGGGGUGUUCGUUCAUGUCUCUGACCGAUUUUCUGGGGUCUACUGAAGGAUCUAGGGUAGCCCCAAAAUGUCUCUGCAUGCUGUCAACAUCUCCCACUAUGCACAAAAUGUUUGAGAAUAGAGGACCUUAGUCUUAAACUGUGGAAG